AUGGAUCCCUGGUGUAGUAACCUUUACUGUGUACUUAGAAUAAAUGAUAGGCAUGUAAUCUCAGAAUCUGUGAAUUUUUUUUUUCUUUCUUCUCAUAGAUUACUACUACACUCUUGCUAUAUGAGUAGCCUGUCCACACUGCUAUAUUGUGUUUGCUGUAAGGUGCUACUGACCCAGCAGCUGCAACACACUACACCAGUCCAAAAGGGAGAUAGGUGUCUCAGAAGCUGGUCAUUCUGGAAAGCACUUCCCAUGUCAGACACUAUUUUUGUCAGACUGUCUCUGCUGCCAUCAGAGGGAGUAUGUAACAGGAUAUUGAUGAUAAAUUCAGCCUCUACUGCCAUACUACUAACAUUCACCUCUGAUAUAGUGGGCCAAAAUAAUAAAAUAGGAGGCAGUGCUUUUGGAGCAGCCCUCAUACCUUGUUAUAAUUAAUAUGAGAUAAUAUUGCCUUUUUUACCCUAUUUUCCCACAUAACCGAGUAACCUUUUUCUGACACUGAUAUAGUUUAAUCUGUUUCUAUAAGGUUUCUAUAAGCAUCCAUAUAAUUUAUGCCUAUAGAACUACAAUUCCUCAGAGUAAUUUUUCUUCCAUCUGUUCAGCUUGAGUGGAGAACAUUUGUUAAACAGUGUUUGGAGGGAUGUUGGCAGUAAAAUACCCUGAUGUAAAAUACCCACCCUGAUGUUAGGCUAGUUAACUGGUUGUUCUAGGCACAAUGCUGACAUUGUUAGGUUGCAGGGAGGUAGAAGUACAAAUAAAAAUGAAAAC
rnacentral:lncRNA from 1 species